rnacentral:tRNA from 1 species
GGCCUGUUAGCUCAGCUGGUUAGAGCGUGGUGCUAGUAAUGCCAAGGUCGUGGGUUCGAUACCCACAUGGGCCA